CCGCCCAACUAAUUGUUGGCCUGGAGUUCUGUUGAUCUCACAUAGACUACCAGCCACGCCCCCACUCCCAAAAUGGCUGGAGGAGGUGUAGAGAUAUAUCUGAAGGUUUUCUAGCGCUGCAGGAGUAGAGGAGAUGUGUUUGUUGAGUGGGAGCAUCCUCCGUCACCACCAUUCUCCAGUAUCCAUGGAGAUGACACUAUCUUCUUUGAGCUCCUGAGAACUAAACAACAUUCAACAGUUAACGACAAUCGACGAUGCAAUUACGUUAGAAUCCAGCCAUGCAUGACAUGUGCACAGCGACUGUGGGGGGUCUGGUAUCAAGGUGACCCACCGUCCACUCGGCCCCGGCAUGAUCCAGCAGAUACAGAGCGUGUGCACAGACUGUGGGGGGUCUGGUGAUUACAUAAGAGACAAGGACAAGUGCAAGAAAUGCAAAUGAAAGCGUCUCGUGGAAAUCAACCACAAACAAGAGUGACUUUGUGGCAUCCUGAAAACUUAAAAGAUGCUCUUUCAGUUGGUACGUUCAACCAUUGAUAGUAGAGGGAGAGUGAUUGGAAACUCCUGUGAUUACAGUAAACAACCGCAUUGCUCUUGCUCCGUAAAUUAUCGUACAACACUACACUCACAAUAAAUAACAAGUGGCAGUCAAAGCAGUUAGAGCAGCUAUUAGCAGCUAUUCUGGAGGACAAGGAGUUCCUAUAGUCUUCCUAUUGGACACUCCAAGGUUGAAAGAUGGAAAGAAACUGAGGAGAAGAUGAAGACGAUAUAGAUACUAUAGUUUAGCUGUGUUUAUGUGCAAUGUUCUUAUACAAUGUUUUAAUCAUCAAUAUUCAGUUCAUACUUCACAUACAUGUAAAUCAUCGUCAUAAAUGAUAUGACCAACAGAUAUAUAAACUGAAAAUAAAUCUAUCUAGUGUCUUGGGUGAGAUCAAGAAGGGGUUUUCUGUCUUCGUUCUUACUUAAUCUUCGAGGUCGAAACUUUGCGGCAUCUACACAUGUACAAAAAGGAAGUUGAGAUGGUGGAAAGUAGUUCAAGCCAUGCACAUAUGAACCCUAAGUAAUGAGUACCACUAACAAUUAAAUGCACAUAUUCAUCCAACACCAUGAAAUAAUUACACAAAAUGUGCGCAUAAAUCGUAACAAAAGAUACAUUAGGUAAAUUUCCUCCAUCAAUAACCAAUAACACAACCUAAUACAUUGUUCAAGCCAUUCAGAUGAAUGAGUAGGCCUAGAAUUAGCUUAACUUGGUCUGAGGAAAGAUUCAUGAAAGCCUGGAAAAUUACACUAGUGAUUUUUUUAACAACAGUAGUAAAAACAAUUUUGUCUAUUAAUUUAUUCCUUACUCUUACUGCAUCUUCAUCACCAGUAAGUAUCACCUCCUACUUGCUAUGACUUAGAUAUGGCUACUGUGUCGACUAAGCAGAGUUUCACUAAGAAGUGUACUGUUCACUUUCUUUGUUUAUCAACAAUAUUGGCAGUACACAUGGUUCAACGGAAGUGACGUUUUUACUAGCAAUCAUGUAAGCGUUUCCAAUCCCUCUCCCUCUACUAUCAAUGGUUCAACCAUAGAUUGAACAGUAGGAGGGAUUGGAAACAACCAUGCAGGCCCCUCUGUGUAAACCGGUGAAACACUCCGCGUUAUGAUUUUGCGCUCGCUUAUAGUUUUUACCGCACUCUAGUUGUAUAUUUCAACUGUUUCUAGCUCUCCUAUCCACUAGCGAUCACUCAGAAGCUGGGAGAUACUCUAGAGAAGUAAAUUUACACCACUGACUAAGUAAAUUGUCUUUUACUCCGUUUUUGAGUUUAGCCCAUGUCAACUUUUCUCUUUCCCUGCUGUGAAGAUGAAACAGCAAAGGACAUUGCUUGACUUGGUUAUUAUGUAUCUCAGUGCUAUAUAGAAUGUCUUCAUGCUAUGGAUAAGCUGUACUGUUCAUAAACGUUUGCAGUGUAGUCUUUCAAACUGCUUUAGUAUACUUUUAGACACACCACGGGCCUUGACCUCCCACGACUUCAUAGUAAGGGCUAUUCCUUCUUGUGUAGUAUUUAUUUGUUUAGUGAUAGUGGCUGAGUUGCUUAGUCGACAUUUAGAGCUAGAUUCUCUUUACUUUUUAGAAUAAUCGUGAUUAUUAACAAUUUCACUGUUUCUAGUUCUAUGUACAGCACAUUGUAUGGCAGCAAGACAGGUAAUGAGCAUGCUGACUAUAAAUAUAAUUCUUUGUAGUUUUAGCCACACCCUAUAACGAGGAGUGUUUCACGCAAACAUUUUCGUUUCCAAUCUUUCCUACUGUUCUAUCUAUGGUUCAACCAUUUUCACCUAUUUUCGACAACCAAAGAUGGUACUACUCACGUGAUGUUAGCCUAUAAUUAUGCCUCGAGGCGUAGCCGCACGAGGGAUACAAAGCUGACUGUGUGUGUGUGUGUCUGUGUGUCUGUUCCAGCUGUAACUGCUCAACGGUUGCAAUGCGACGAAAACUAACAGCUUCUAUAGGCUUCUAGCCACGUUCUCUUGGAUUUUGAUUCGUGGAUUAGCAAACUAAAGCUUCUUUCUCGAGUUAUGGCUAGUUUGACUCACAUUGAAGGCUGUUGCAGUCUCUUCAGAAUCUUUCAUAGCAUCAUCUGUCCGCACAAACUUUCUAUUCAACAUAUGAGUUAGCCUUGCACUAAAGCGCUAGCUUUUUGUUAGCUACAAGACUCAGAAAAUACCUGUUAAAACAGCUAGCUAGCUAGCAGUAGCCAUUUGUGAAAUUGAUCUCUUUGGACACACCCUUUAAUUAUUCCUAUGGAUGUAAUGCGCAUGCGCGCUCAUUCCCCAGAUCCAGAUCCUCCUGGCAGAAUCAUAUUUUUCUUGAGGGCCUGGUAAGCCACAAAACACUACUAUAGAUAACAAUAUGCAUGUACACAAGUCUUUUCUUCUUAAAUAUUAUAAUUAUACACUGCAUGAACUACAGAUCCAAUUUUCUUCUUUCUUGAGGUCCUGGUAUUAAAGCCACAUAAUACAACAAUAGAUGCAUGUAAUAAGUCUUUUCUUCUCAGUGACUUUAUAUAGAUAAGCUAACUUUAUGAAAUAAUUAUGCACUUCCGCUUAUAAUUAAUUGAAAACAAAAUCUUCUUCUUUGUUGCUUCCUAGAUCCUUGAGGUCCUGGUAUAAGCAGCCACAAAACACAACAAUGAUACCAUAAUUAUACAAUUGCAAGUCAGUUUUAGACAGAUUAUUUUAUACACUUUUUCCUCUUCUAUACUUUCUCUUCUAUACUUUUGAGCGAAAGCAAAUCAUGGCGAGAGGCAUUAGCACAGCGCCAGCUUGAACACUAGUUAUAAUAUGUUUCCUACGUGUUACAUUAUUAUUUAACCUCUGAACUCGUGUGAACUAAACACUUUAUGUCUUGUCUCUUCAGAACACUGCUGGUGACGACCAUAGUGACAAGCAGCUGGAUCACACCGACUACAGGAGAGUCGACUGUGACCUGUUUGUGGAGAAGAGCAUCAGUUUAGGGAGGCCUUGUGUGGCUUCACCUGCACUCUGUACCCCCUGGACGGGAGGAAUGUGGGUGUGUCCAGGUCACCAGGAGCAGUGUUGUCACCAGGUGAGUAUGUGGCUGGUAGGAGGAGGAUUGUAUAGGGCUGCCUUUGAGAGGAGUGUACAUACAAGCUAUUAUAGUGUGUCCCAGCCUUACAAGCUGAGGGGACAUGUGUUAGGGUUAGGUACCUUAGGACUUUUGAUCUGGCAGCUUUAACAAGACUUAGGCUAUUUAUUAUCAAGGGCGUAUACACCCUUGUUAUUAUCCAUGAGAACCAAAGCAGCUGAAUAGAAAGUGGUAGCUAAGAGUACCAGUGUGAAGGAGGGAGGUUCAUUGAGGUGUACUGGCAUGGCUAUCUUAUAUAUAGUGACAUCCUUCUUGUUCUUCAAUAGACUGUAGAGGUGGUGUGGCCAAAUUGGCAAAUACCGUGUAGCGGAUAUUUCGAGGGUAUAAAUGUUCAUGGUUUUCGCUGAUCAAGCAUCUAUCGCGAACAUUUAUUCCCACGAAUUUAAUAUCACACGCAUACACGCUGCAGAAAGACUGCUAUUCUGAAUUCCUGAAAACCUUUCUAACGGUCAAUCCGCGAAAGUGUAUACCCUCGAAAUAUACCCGCUAUACGAUAGUUUUAUCACUCAAAUAUGAACUUUGAUGAUAUCAUUUUAGAGAUCGAAGAAGCUCUUUCAUAUGCUUAAUUCCCGAAUUUUGAACGGGUCAUAAUUAGGGUUAGGUAUAGGACUUUUGAUCUUGUUAUUUCUAUUUUCACUUCAUGUGUAUGUAUUUAUAGUCUUGUGGUCAUGUGCAAUACUAACAGUGGUUGUGUUGUGUGGGCAGUAUUGUACGUAGGUACAUGUACAGUUGCUAAAAAGCUACGAAAACUCUGCCAAUCUAAUUACAACAUACUGAAAGUAGUAUCAAUUGAGUUUACAAUGUGUGUGUACAUGUACAGUACUGUGUGUGUGUGUGUGUGUGUGUGUGUGUGUGUGUGUGUGUGUGUGUGUGUGUGUGUGUGUGUGUGUGUGUGUGUGUGUGUGUGUGUGUGUGUGUGUGUGUGUGUGUGUGUGUGUGUGUGUGUGUGUGUGUGUGUGUGUGUGUGUGUGUGUGUGUGUGUGUGUGUGUGUGUGUGUGUGUGUGUGUGUGUGUGUGUCCAGGGUCUGGAGAUGCCAGUGUUCAGGAGGCCUCAUGUCAAGGGCAACCUCUAUGUUCAAUUCACCAUCCAAUUCCCUGACACUGGUUUCCUGGAGGAGAGUCAACUAAAGGUAUGCAGUGGCUAUAAUCAUGUGAUAUGUGUGUGCAGUGUAGGCAGCCUCUCAAUACACAGGCCUCCACUGUAUACAUGCAAUAUCUUUAUGCUGUACCACCUUGUCUUCUAUAAUUAAGGUGUCUUUGUGAAGUAGUUGGUAUACUGAUCCAAUACACAGGCCCCCACUGUAUAGCAAUGUACUCUACCCCCCCACACACACACACACACACACACACACCCACACACACACACACACACACACACCACACACCCCACACACACCCACACGUACACCCACACCCACACACACCCACACACACACACCCACACACACACACACACCCCACACACACACACACACACACACACACACACACACACACACCUCCACCCACACACAAGUGUUGAAGUGUUUCCUGCCCACAGGACCUGACCCACCAGCACUGGACCCAGAGGCAGAGGAAGUGGAUAUGAUAGAGAGUGAGGGGACGAGGGGAGUGGGCGGGGCACAAGGGGGUGGAGUCAUAUACGAUGAAGAUGAGGAGGAUAAAGGAGUGGGCGGGGCAUAGAGGGUGGGCUGCUCUCAACAGUGACUCUCUUAGGAACUCUAUAUUCACCGCUUUGAUUGUAUUUAUAGACUGGUUUUGUGGUUACUGCUAUUGUUCUAAUUAUGUGAAUAACGUU